ACAUGCUUACAACAUAGAGUUAAUGGAACAAAUCCCAUUAGAACUCUGAAGUUAAGAGCACCCAUGCUAGAGUCGUAUUGGGAUGGGUAAUUUCCCAGGAAGUCUUAUUAUUUUACAUGCC
rfam:Picea glauca, whole genome shotgun sequence.